GGACCGUGGUAGCUCAGUGGUUAGAGCGCUCGCCUCGAAAAGUGACAAAUCUCAACCCUAUUGCGAGACGUUUGAAAGGACUUCCAGCUUUAAUUCCUCUGGCCCA